GAUGAACGCUGGCGGCGUGCCUAAUACAUGCAAGUCGAGCGAACAGACGAGGAGCUUGCUCCUUCGACGUUAGCGGCGGACGGGUGAGUAACACGUAGGUAACCUACCUAUAAGACUGGGAUAACUUCGGGAAACCGGAGCUAAUACCGGAUAAUAUAUCGAACCGCAUGGUUCGAUAGUGAAAGAUGGCUUUGCUAUCACUUAUAGAUGGACCUGCGCCGUAUUAGCUAGUUGGUAAGGUAACGGCUUACCAAGGCAACGAUACGUAGCCGACCUGAGAGGGUGAUCGGCCACACUGGAACUGAGACACGGUCCAGACUCCUACGGGAGGCAGCAGUAGGGAAUCUUCCGCAAUGGGCGAAAGCCUGACGGAGCAACGCCGCGUGAGUGAUGAAGGUCUUCGGAUCGUAAAACUCUGUUAUUAGGGAAGAACAAACGUGUAAGUAACUGUGCACGUCUUGACGGUACCUAAUCAGAAAGCCACGGCUAACUACGUG
rnacentral:rRNA from 1 species